UACAUGGGGUGCAAACGUUGCUCGGAAUCAUUGGGCGUAAAGCGCGCGUAGGCGGUUAUUUAAGUUGGAUGUGAAAGCCCUCGGCUUAACUGAGGAAGUGCAUCCAAAACUGAAUAGCUAGAGUACGAAAGAGGGUCGCGGAAUUCCCGGUGUAGAGGUGAAAUUCGUAGAUAUCGGGAGGAACACCAGUGGCGAAGGCGGCUCACUGGACCGGAACUGACGCUGAGGCGCGAAAGCGUGGGGAGCAAACAGG
rnacentral:rRNA from 1 species